rnacentral:rRNA from 1 species
AACGAACGCUGGCGGCAGGCUUAACACAUGCAAGUCGAGCGAGACCUUCGGGUCUAGCGGCGGACGGGUGAGUAACGCGUGGGAACGUGCCCUUCUCUACGGAAUAGCCCCGGGAAACUGGGAGUAAUACCGUAUACGCCCUUUGGGGGAAAGAUUUAUCGGAGAAGGAUCGGCCCGCGUUGGAUUAGGUAGUUGGUGGGGUUAUGGCCCACCAAGCCGACGAUCCAUAGCUGGUUUGAGAGGAUGAUCAGCCACACUGGGACUGAGACACGGCCCAGACUCCUACGGGAGGCAGCAGUGGGGAAUCUUAGACAAUGGGGGCAACCAUGAUCUAGCCAUGCCGCGUGAGUGAUGAAGGCCUUAGGGUUGUAAAGCUCUUUAAGCUGGGAAGAUAAUGACGGUACCAGCAGAAGAAGCCCCGGCUAACUCCGUG